rnacentral:rRNA from 1 species
UACGAAGGGGACUAGCGUUGUUCGGAAUUACUGGGCGUAAAGCGCACGUAGGCGGAUUGCUAAGUCAGGGGUGAAAUCCCGGGGCUCAACCUCGGAACUGCCUUUGAUACUGACAAUCUCGAGUCCGAUAGAGGUGGGUGGAAUUCCUAGUGUAGAGGUGAAAUUCGUAGAUAUCGGGAGGAACACCGGUGGCGAAGGCGGCGAUCUGGGUCGAUACUGACGCUGAGGUGCGAAAGCGUGGGGAGCAAACAGG